rnacentral:rRNA from 1 species
AUUGAACGCUGGCGGCAUGCCUUACACAUGCAAGUCGAACGGCAGCGGACCUUUCGGGUGCCGGCGAGUGGCGAACGGGUUGAGUAAUAUAUCGGAACGUACCUUUCAGUGGGGGAUAACCGUAGCGAAAGUUUACGCUAAUACCGCAUAUUCUGUGAGCAGGAAAGCAGGGGAUCGCAAGGACCUUGCGCUGAUUGAGCGGCCGAUAUCAGAUUAGCUAGUUGGUGAGGUAAAGGCUCACCAAGGCGACGAUCUGUAGCGGGUCUGAGAGGAUGAUCCGCCACACUGGAACUGAGACACGGUCCAGACUCCUACGGGAGGCAGCAGUGGGGAAUUUUGGACAAUGGGCGCAAGCCUGAUCCAGCCAUGCCGCGUGAGUG